CCUGCCAGUUGGACAUGUACACCUUACAAUCAUUCCAUACACCAAAUAUAGUAGACCUAUUGGAUAAAGUAUAAGAAAAACGGACCAAAACACAAAAACUUAACUAUAACCACUGAACCAUGAAAAUGAGGUCAAGGUCAGAUGACACCUGCCAGUUGGACAUGUACACCUUACAAUCAUUCCAUACACCAAAUAUAAUAGACCUAUUGCAUACAGUAUAAGAAAAACAGACCAAAACACAAAAACUUAACUAUAACCACUGAACCAUGAAAAUGAGGUCAAGGUCAGAUGACACCUGCCAGUUGGACAUGUACACCUUACAAUCAUUCCAUACACCAAAUAUAAUAGACCUAUUGCAUACAGUAUAAGAAAAACAGACCAAAACACAAAAACUUAACUAUAACCACUG